rnacentral:lncRNA from 1 species
CUUAAAAUAAUCCCAUGCAUCAAAUUUAGUUGACCUAUUGCUAAAUAUCUACGAAACAAAGUUGACCAAGAAAACUGAACACGAAUGAUCAAUGGAAAUGAGGUGAAGGUCAGAUGAUACCUGCCAGACAGACAAAUACACCUAAAAAUCAUUCCAUACACCAAAUAUAGUUGCUUAAUGAUUAAGAAAAAUUAGACCAAAACACAAGAACUUAACAUUGAGCAAUGAACCAUGAAAUUGAGGUCAAGAUCACAUUAAACCUGCCUGGCUGACAUGUACAUCUUGAAAUAUUUCCAUACACCAAAUAUAGUCCUAAUGCAUACAGUACUAAAAUAACAGACCAAAACACACACAUUUAUAAUUUAUGCAAUGAGCCUGAAAAUGAGGUCAAGCCUCAAGGUCAAAUAAAACUUGCCAG